CUCCCCCCGCGGCUGAGGCGAGUCGACCCGCUGCUCUCCUCACAGGAAAAUCUAACUCGUCGGGGAGAGAUAUAAAAUAAAAAAACCCGGUGAUGGGCACAGGGGUGCUGGGAGGUCACCGGGAGAAGUUCGUCGCCGUGUUUUCCCUUCAGGGGCAGCCCAGAGCCCUUGUUUUGCCACUUCAAGCUCCUGCCGGCGCUCAGCGCUUUAGGAGAAGAGCAGGAGGAAUGUGCAUUUGAAGAGAGGGUGACGGCAUCUGGAGGCAUUGCUCAGAAGGGGAAGGUGUAUGCUAAUGAUUUCAAGAAGCGGCAAAUUCAACUAUGGGAAGGAACGCAGCCUUUUGGAUCCAGGAGGGAAGGGUAAGUGCGAAAGUAAUCAGCAGCGACGAGACUGAGCUAAGUCACCCAAAGGCCAGGGCAGAGGGAGGAGGGAGAAGAAGCGUACCAAAGCCAGAAACCAGAAGAGUGAGUUUUCCUUGUGUUUGCAUAAGUUAGCACCUGUGUUGCUUGCAGCUGGAGGAGAGUAUGUGGGGGGUGGGAGACCUUUUUUCCUGGGAAGCACGAAAGGGUACUGUUUUACAUACAAGACCUGAUGACAGAAAAUGACUCCAGUUUUAUGCUAACUACUCUGCUGAUAGCAUUGAAAGUAGCAUUUCCAGCGGAGAAGGGACCUACAGGUUUUAAUUUCCCUGCAGGAUCUCCACUAAUCUCCAUUAUAAUAUUGCACUUAGAGUGCAUUGUUUCCCUCAGGUGGGCGAUACAUGGACCUAAGUGGUACAAAAUGCCUUUUCCACCUAGCUAUAGUGUUUGGUUAUACAGCCGGAGCCUGCUGGUGUGCCUUAAAAGUUUGUUGUCACAAAUUUGCAACAAUGUAUCAAUAAAUUGUAAAACUGCUAGUGUUUUGUUUGUUUGUUUGUUUUUCUCAAGUAAUGCCAACAUGAACUUUAAAGAGUACCAUAAUAUUGACUGUUUUCAUUACAGGUUAUUUGUCUAAUGAGCAGGUGUUUGCGUGUUAAUACUGUUAGAUUGUGGCUGUAAAAUCCUGUUGCACCAGAAAUCACAAACAAGCCCCAGUCCAGAUUUACAGGCGGGGAAAUAUACACAAUUAGUUUAGACCAUUAAAUUAACUAAUUGUCAAUACACCACAGACACAGUGUUUCCUUGAACAUGGUUGGAGUAGGUCUUCUUUUCUGUAAUCAAAUAGCAAAGUUGAGUGAAGCAGAAAUUGUGACAGCUGUUGGCAAGUUUAAUUUCUUUUACAUGGUUUUGAUAAAGGUGUAGACUGGAAACUUAAUCGCUGAUGUCCAUAACCUCCAGUUUCUGGAGGUCAUAACCAGUCAGUUUCUGCUGUGAUUUGCUUUUCUUUUUUUGCUAUGGGAUAAAUCUACUUGUCCUGAGACCAGCCUGUGAGACUUCCACAGUUUUCUCAUAAAACUGAUCCCUGCUGCUUGUUGCCAUCCUCUGUCUAGGAAAGCUGCCUUUAAUUUGUGCAUUUUAUCUUUUUGUAACUAAAAGAUAUUUUGUAACACUGUUCUCUAAGACAAUGAAAGUGCCUGUUUAUAGAGUGAGCGCUUCUACACUAGCCUGGUAUCCACAAUACUUAUAAACAGCUUUUCUGGAAAGAUGUGUUGGUGAUAGAAAAAAAUGCCUUGAAUAGAUCCUGUUAGUUAUCUAUGUUAUUUUAAUGCAUAGAUUAAAGUGUACAUAUUAAGGUGUGUAUUUAGAAGUCAUAUUAGACAUGUUCAUGAUUCUGAACAUUGAAAAUACUUUGAUUCUUGAGUUAGUAAGGAAUGCUUUAGCUUCAAACACAGCUAUUACUUGUCGGUUAGGAACUGAGCUUUGGUGAGCUUUAAGACCUUCCAAACCGUAGUUCAUAACUGAGUGCCUAUAGCCAAUAGUGAUGUUGCAUGUGCCUAUCUCUCAAGUAAAGAAUAUCAUGUAUUUUUCUGAAACUUAAGCUAAUACAAUUUUUCACUCUAUUUAAGAGCAAAAUCUUAAAACAGCACUGUAACACAGUCUGUGCAACAUACCAGCCUGGGGCAGUACUGAAUUUUUGUUGCUUAUUUCUUUCCCUAAAUGAACAAUCUCCACUUGGAAAAAUAAUGUAACAAAUCCUUUACAGAGUCAAAAAUGUUGUGUGAUGGUUAAGAGACAGAUUUAAGUACUUAAGGUAACCUUUAAUUGGAGUUGUCUGCCUAAGGUCCGAGGAGAACCUUCAAAGCUGCAGCAUGGGCUGCUGCCUACAGGUGCAGUGUGGCAGCAGGGCUGUGCUGCCUCAGCUGCUUGCUGACACCCGAAGGAGAAGGCCUUACUCUCCCUUCUUCCUUCCCUGCUCCACCUUCCCACUCCUAGUGAUGUGCUCUGGCCACAAGGUCAGCAGUAAAUGUGCUCCACUGGCAAAAGAACGUUUACUUUUUAGCCAGAGGUUAUUUUUCUGUAAUUUCACUGAGCUGAAUCAGCUUGCUUUGCAUCAAAUGGGUGCUGGCUCAGGGCAAGCAGUGGUGGCGUGCAGCCAGAACCAGAGGGGAAGGGAAGAUGAGAGGAGAGAGUGGGGAACUUUUGCUUUUGAUGACGAGAAGUUGAUUUGGCUCAUGGUGUAUUCAGUGUAUAAAUCUCUGGAGUCUAGGAGUGCUUGAGGAUAUACCUCUAUUGACAGUAGCGGGCCUCUCUGCCCAUACGCCAGUUCAGCCAGAUUCAAGCCAGCUUCUGUGGCAGAACUGUGUUAGCUAAUACACACUGCCCCUUAGGGAAACUUUCCUAUUUUCCUCUUUCUGUUUAAAUAAUUUAAUGUUACACAAUGUUGAAUGGCUAUAUUGCUUUUUGAGGUCUACUUUUAUGUUUGCAGCAACCGUAUGCCAAAUGAAAUGUAGGAUCAAGCUAAUGGGUAGUUGGCAGUUUUCUGUGAUUUGAUCAUAAUUAAAACCAAUGUAUUGAUCACAAGUUCAGAGCCAGAAUACUGCUUCAAUUCAUGCUUGGCAUGGAUUUAUUUAUUUGUAACUGAUUUAUUGAUUUAAUAAAUCUUUGUUGCGUGGUGUGCUA